CCAUUAUAUCGCCAAUUACCUUGCACUUGGUUUAGUUGAGUAUAAAAAAAGGACUUUUCCUAGGAAAUUGCAGACACUUUUUAAACGCUUUCACAUGGGCACAAAAUCGAUAAUUGUUGGGAUUCCUUUUUUUGUUGGUGGUGUCGGAAAAAGCUUGGCCUGCUGAAUGGUUAGGACUGCUUUUUUCUUUGGUAUUCGUUUUAGCUACUUAUGAAUGGGAAUUCCUUAAGCUAGUAAGAAAUCACGUUGUGCUAAAAAACUAAAAUUACUUAAAUAGAAAUUGCACUAGAAAAUUAUGCGGCCUGUCGUGCGCGCACUUGGCUUUCGUUUCCUCAACUGCACGGGAAUCGGAAUAAUGAGACCACGGACGGAGAGCGAGUGAGAUACAGAGAGCAGAAGAACUACUGAGAGUAACAAAAAGAGUCCGCCCCCAAACAGGCGCGAUUUAUUAACCGAUUCGCGAAACGGUUAAAAUUUAAAUUUUAGUUUUUUAUCAAAUCCAAAAGUAGGCCUUGACUUUUGCUUUGGAAAUGAAAGUUGAGAUUCUUCUAUAAAAUUACUUUGUACCGGAAAUUCAAGGAAUUAACUUCGUGUUCGAUUCGAGUUAAAAUCUUUGUGGUUUGUUCAAAAUUCUUGUUAGAAUGCCUGCAAAGAAGGAUUCGACCAAGGGUUCCAAGAAGGGAGCUGCGGCUCCUGCUGCGGCAAAACCCAACGCUGAUCCUGCGAAUUCCGGAUCGACUGGAAAUGUAGAACCAGCUGCCAAGGAAGCUAAGGCUGCCAAGAAGGGCAAAGGCAAGAAGAAGUAACAUUUCCACCUCGAUUUUAAGGACGUCCAUCAGUAGAAUGAAGUACAGAAGUUGCCGACAAAUAAAAAAUGAUUGAAUAAAA